GUCUACGGCCAUGCCACCCUGAACAAGCCCAAUCCUGUCUGAUCUCGAAAGCUAAGCAGGGUCGAGCCUGGUUAGUACUUGGAUGGGAGACCACCUAGGAAGACCAGGUGCUGUAGGCA
rnacentral:rRNA from 1 species